rnacentral:rRNA from 1 species
UUAACUUGGGAGUCAGAACAUGGGUGAUAAGGUCCGUGUUCGAAAGGGAAACAGCCCAGACCACCAGCUAAGGUCCCAAAAUAUAUGUUAAGUGGAAAAGGAUGUGGCGUUGCCCAGACAACUAGGAUGUUGGCUUAGAAGCAGCCAUCAUUUAAAGAGUGCGUAAUAGCUCACUAGUCGAGUGACACUGCGCCGAAAAUGUACCGGGGCUAAACAUAUUACCGAAGCUGUGGAUUGUCCUUUGGACAAUGGUAGGAGAGCGUUCUAAGGGCGUUGAAGCAUGAUCGUAAGGACAUGUGGAGCGCUUAGAAGUGAGAAUGCCGGUGUGAGUAGCGAAAGACGGGUGAGAAUCCCGUCCACCGAUUGACUAAGGUUUCCAGAGGAAGGCUCGUCCGCUCUGGGUUAGUCGGGUCCUAAGCUGAGGCCGACAGGCGUAGGCGAUGGAUAACAGGUUGAUAUUCCUGUACCACCUAUAAUCGUUUUAAUCGAUGGGGGGACGCAGUAGGAUAGGCGAAGCGUGCGAUUGGAUUGCACGUCUAAGCAGUAAGGCUGAGUAUUAGGCAAAUCCGGUACUCGUUAAGGCUGAGCUGUGAUGGGGAGAAGACAUUGUGUCUUCGAGUCGUUGAUUUCACACUGCCGAGAAAAGCCUCUAGAUAGAAAAUAGGUGCCCGUACCGCAAACCGACACAGGUAGUCAAGAUGAGAAUUCUAAGGUGAGCGAGCGAACUCUCGUUAAGGAACUCGGCAAAAUGACCCCGUAACUUCGGGAGAAGGGGUGCUCUUUAGGGUUAACGCCCAGAAGAGCCGCAGUGAAUAGGCCCAAGCGACUGUUUAUCAAAAACACAGGUCUCUGCUAAACCGUAAGGUGAUGUAUAGGGGCUGACGCCUGCCCGGUGCUGGAAGGUUAAGAGGAGUGGUUAGCUUCUGCGAAGCUACGAAUCGAAGCCCCAGUAAACGGCGGCCGUAACUAUAACGGUCCUAAGGUAGCGAAAUUCCUUGUCGGGUAAGUUCCGACCCGCACGAAAGGCGUAACGAUUUGGGCACUGUCUCAACGAGAGACUCGGUGAAAUCAUAGUACCUGUGAAGAUGCAGGUUACCCGCGACAGGACGGAAAGACCCCGUGGAGCUUUACUGUAGCCUGAUAUUGAAAUUCGGCACAGCUUGUACAGGAUAGGUAGGAGCCUUUGAAACGUGAGCGCUAGCUUACGUGGAGGCGCUGGUGGG